rnacentral:rRNA from 1 species
GACGAACGCUGGCGGCGUGCUUAACACAUGCAAGUCGAACGGAAAGGCCCUGCUCUUGUGGGGUGCUCGAGUGGCGAACGGGUGAGUAACACGCGAGUAACCUGCCCUUGACUUUGGGAUAACUUCAGGAAACUGGGGCUAAUACCGGAUAGGAGCUCCUGCUGCAUGGUGGGGGUUGGAAAGUUUCGGCGGUUGGGGAUGGACUCGCGGCUUAUCAGCUUGUUGGUGGGGUAGUGGCUUACCAAGGCUUUGACGGGUAGCCGGCCUGAGAGGGUGACCGGCCACAUUGGGACUGAGAUACGGCCCAGACUCCUACGGGAGGCAGCAGUGGGGAAUAUUGCACAAUAGGCGGAAGCCUGAUGCAGCAACGCCGCGUGCGGGAUGACGGCCUUCGGGUUGUAAACCGCUUUCGCCUGUGACGAAGCGUGAGUGACGGUAAUGGGUAAAGAAGCACCGGCUAACUACGUG